rnacentral:rRNA from 1 species
GACGUAGGGUGCGAGCGUUGUCCGGAUUUAUUGGGCGUAAAGAGCUCGUAGGCGGCUCGUUGCGUCGGCUGUGAAAACCCGCGGCUCAACUGUGGGCUUGCAGCUGAUACGGGCGGGCUGGAGUUCGGUAGGGGAGACUGGAAUUCCUGGUGUAGCGGUGAAAUGCGCAGAUAUCAGGAGGAACACCGGUGGCGAAGGCGGGUCUCUGGGCCGAUACUGACGCUGAGGAGCGAAAGCGUGGGGAGCGAACAGG